rnacentral:rRNA from 1 species
UACGUAGGGUGCAAGCGUUGUCCGGAAUUAUUGGGCGUAAAGAGCUCGUAGGCGGUCUGUUGCGUCGGCUGUGAAAACCCGAGGCUCAACCUCGGGCCUGCAGCCGAUACGGGCAGACUAGAGUGUUGCAGGGGAGACUGGAAUUCCUGGUGUAGCGGUGAAAUGCGCAGAUAUCAGGAGGAACACCGGUGGCGAAGGCGGGUCUCUGGGGCAACAACUGACGCUGGAGGAGCGAAAGCGUGGGGAGCGAACAGG